GGCAGUCUCGCUGUCGGGUCCCUAAAUCCCCAUCCCAUUAGCCAGGUGCCAAGAGUGAAACCUGCAAAAGGACCCUGGUUAAAUCACCGGGCGGCCACUCCACCGGCGCCCAGCGCUAAUCCCUGGGGGCUGGCAGCCUUUUUUUUUUUUUCUUGGUCACACGGCAGGAAGACAAGCUUGCUCUGGGAGCAGCUGCCACCUGGUGACAAGCAGCGGGUUGUUAUAGGGCAGAAGGGCUGGGUGGAGCCACAGAAAAUCACUGCCAUUCCUCUGGUUUCAACAGACCUGCACCAGUGACACUUUCCUGGGAUUCCUGCAGAGGAGGAGCCUCGUCUGCAACUGGUUUCAUUCCAUCAGCCCAGAAGUGAGAAAUGGAGUAUUUCCUGCCAUAGGAAUAAACAAGGAUGCCACAGUCAUCAGUGAUUUCGGCCUUCGAUAUGUGAAUUUCUGAGCCUGGAGGGCGCCCGGGAAAAACACCACCUGUGAACCAGUAGCCAUCAGGCUGCCACCAGUCCCUCCGGUGAGCAGAACUAAGGAUGUGAGAAAUCAAACUGCAGGACGCUGGGCCCAGAUAGCUGAGAUGCGUAUGAAAGGAAUGAUCUCAGUGAGCCCAGAUGCACGCAUCUUCCCAUGCACAGAAAAGCCCUAAAUUCCUUAACUCGAGAUAUCUGGUUUUCCUUAACUAACAAUUAUCUUUUGAUGUUCAGACUACCUGACCCUUGUUGCAGAUUUCUGUAUAAUCUGAUUUCUCCCCCCUUUGCUUCCUCGGAACAGUUCUCUCAGGCCACUUUGAGAUGCUGUUUCCUGGAUUUGAAGACCUAAAAAUUCUCACCAAAUAAAACAUAACUCUCCAUCUCUA